GAGCAGCCAAUCCUUUUGAAAUUAGGAUUAACUUUUCUAACGUGUUUUAUAUAACAUAAUUGGAGAUGUAGAGAAUUUCCGAAAAAAAUGCUGGGAGCGGUCAAUUGGCAGAGCUCUGUGCAGAACAGAAGAUUAUACAUAUAGAUCCACUUUGGGGUCACUGCGCCACCGUAGUAGUGACAUUCGGUGGUGUUACAUUGUCAUCGGCUGCAGCGGUAGCGUCAGCGAUGGCGGGCGCUUCGCUCACGCGUCUGCGAGUGAGCGAGCGGACAGGCUCUCGUCAUGUGUUGCAGUCUAUGCGAGCG